rnacentral:rRNA from 1 species
AUGGAGGUGGUGCUGCAUGCCGGCGACGCCGAGGACUGGGUCUACAAGGGAGAGGGCGCGGCGAAUCUCAUCCUCAGCUACACGGGCUCCUCGCCCUCCAUGCUUGGCAAGGUACUGCGGGCCAAGAAGGUCCUAAAUGACAAGGCUCAACCAGCACCAAACUGCGUAAACUUCUCAAGCUACGAGCAGCUCGUGUGGGGUGACAUCCCAGAAUUGAUCGAGUCUGUCAAGCAAGGUUCUGUGGCACAAGCUUAUGCAGUACAUGUCAUGAGCCAACAUCUGGGGCACGAUCAUGUUGAUGGCGGGGUUCGUGUCUCUGUGUCUAAGGAUUUUCUGGAGAUUGUUGGAAAGAAUGUGCUCAGCGCCCGUCCUGCUUGGCGAGUGAAUGCAAGCGCAAUUGACACCAAUGCUGAUUCUGCCCUUCUAAUUUCUGACCACUCCUUAUUUUCUGGAAAACCUAGAGGUAGCAGCUGUAUUGCAGUGGAGAUAAAGGCCAAAUGUGGGUUUCUUCCAUCAUCAGAAUAUAUAUCAAAGGAAAAUGCUAUUAAGAAACAAGUAACACGGUACAAGAUGCAUCAACACCUCAAAUUUCAUCAGGGGCAGAUAUCGAAGACAAGUGAAUAUGACCCCCUUGAUCUAUUCUCUGGGUCAAAAGAAAGAAUACGCACGGCCAUCAAGUCAUUUUUCUCGACUCCUCAGAACAACUUCAGGAUUUUUGUAAAUGGCUCCUUAGGUUUUGGUGGCAUGGGAGGUGGUGCUGAUAAGGUCCUUGCUAAUGAAACUGAGAAGUGUCUUGAAGAUCUGAGGAAGGUUAGUGGGCUACAACUAUCUGACUUUAUUGAACUCUUGUCAGAGGCAAUAUCUAAAUCUGGAGUAUUGGAUAAACUUUUGGCCACUCAAAAACUGGAUGAUCAUGACAUCGAAGGGGCAAUUCAUUUGUAUUACAACAUCAUCUCUCAGCCUUGUUUGGUCUGCAAAAAUAUAACUGAUGCUGAGCUAUUGCACAAGUACUCUGUGUUGCAUUCUCUUCCUUUGGACAAGAGCUGUAAGAUUGUGAGGGACUUUCUCAUUUCUGCUACUGCAAAGGACUGUAGCCUCAUGAUGUGCUUCCGGCCAAGAGAGUGUGAAAGAACAGAUUCCGAGUAUGAUUCAGUUUUUCUCCAGUCAGUGAACCGAGCCUAUGAUUACAAGGCAUACUUUGUUGAUCUGGAUGUGAAGCCUCUGGAUAAGAUGACACAUUAUUUUAAAUUGGACCAAAAGAUCGUCAAUUUCUACACUAAGAGCGGGGAAAUCGGGCGAGUUCCUUGUGAUUCUCAGAAGGGGGUAGGCACCAGUGAUGACACAGCUGUUCAGCCACAACAUUGA